CCCUUAGAUGUUCUGGGCCGCACACGCGCUACACUGAAGGAGGCAGCGUGUACUCCUGGAUCGAAAGAUUUGGGUAACCCGCGAAUCUCCUACGUGCUAGGGAUUGAGGUUUGCAAUUAUCCUUCAUGAACGAGGAAUUCUCAGUAAGUGCAAGUCAUAAGCUUGCGCUGACUACGUCCCUGCCCUUUGUACACACCGCCCGUCGCUACUACCGAUUGAAUGAUUUAGUGAGGACUUCGGACUGGGACCGAUGCGGCUUUCGGGCUGCGUCGGUAUUCUGGAAAGAUGUCCAAACUGUAUCAUUUAGAGGAAGUAAAAGUCGUANCA
rnacentral:rRNA from 1 species